rnacentral:rRNA from 1 species
AUUGAACGCUGGCGGCAUGCUUUACACAUGCAAGUCGAACGGUAACAGGCCGCAAGGUGCUGACGAGUGGCGAACGGGUGAGUAAUGCAUCGGAACGUGCCCAGUCGUGGGGGAUAACUGCUCGAAAGAGCAGCUAAUACCGCAUACGAUCUAUGGAUGAAAGCGGGGGACCGUACGGCCUCGCGCGAUUGGAACGGCCGAUGUCAGAUUAGGUAGUUGGUGGGGUAAAGGCUCACCAAGCCAACGAUCUGUAGCUGGUCUGAGAGGACGACCAGCCACACUGGGACUGAGACACGGCCCAGACUCCUACGGGAGGCAGCAGUGGGGAAUUUUGGACAAUGGGGGCAACCCUGAUCCAGCAAUGCCGCGUGCAGGAAGAAGGCCUUCGGGUUGUAAACUGCUUUUGUACGGAACGAAACGGUCUGGGUUAAUACCCUGGGCUAAUGACGGUACCGUAAGAAUAAGCACCGGCUAACUACGUGCCAGCCGCCGCAGUAACAC